UCCGCUUCCUCCUCACCCCACCCCAUCCCCUCCCUCCUCUCACCUCCCACGGAGCCUCUUGCUUCUUCAGUCUCGUGUUCAAAUAUAGCGUUCAGUGCGUCGAGAGACACAGACCCGGCUGCAAGUGGGCGUGCUGCUGGCUGCGGCGUCCCAGGCAGACGUGAUCAGGAAGAAGUGCACUGCUUUGAGGGGAGGCGCCAGGCGGCGGUCCAGCAGACGGAACCACAGAAGGCACCUCGUCUGUCAAGCAACAAUCAAUGAAAUCGUCCAGCUCUCAAAAUACUUCUUUCAACGAUGGCAUUGGAACGCUAUCAGCUCUGCGACAGGGCGGUCACUUAUACAGAAUAAAAAGAAUUACACUAAUGCUUUGCAACUAUGAUGUUUUGCGUUCCCCAGGCUACAGGGCUCGAUAAUUUUAUGACGAACUGAUUUGCGGUAAAAUGUAGAGAUAGAAAGUCAUAGCAAAAAGAAUUUGAUAACUUUUAUUUCAAAACUUUGUACUGCUUCAUCUCGACGGCCCCGUCCUAGAGACUGCGUUAUGUACAGUUCUUCUGUAAAAUAUGCGUUUUGUUGAAUACGUUUCUAAACGAUACCAUCUGUUUUGAGCUUAUCUGGAGACAGUUUUCAGCAGGCGAUCCACAGCUGCUAGAAGAUUCAAACAAUUGUUUCACUGGCAGAAACAAAAUUAAAAAAAAAUCAGAAGGGGGUAGAACUGCCAUCUGAAACCGUUGGUACACAGUAUUUGAAACCCGUUUUGUUCCUGCACGGCCAGCCGAAAUGUGCUGCGAGGAAGCUCAAAAUCAAAUAGUACUUUUAGAAGCGUACUCUACACAACGCAUGUCUCAGGGACGUUUCGUUUUGCAAACCAAACAGUGUAUUUAGUACACGCAAGAAAGAGUGUACGUGUGCCCAGGAAAGUGUGUACUAUGCAAUCACACACUUCUCUGCGCAUGCCCACGUGCGCCCUCUUGUACUAAGUACACUGUUUUGGUUUGCAAUAAGCACAACGUAUUGUCACAAUUUUUCUGAUUAGAAGUUAUUGUAUCUUUCAGCAA